rnacentral:misc_RNA from 1 species
GAUGAAGAACGUAGCGAAAUGCGAUACGUAAUGUGAAUUGCAGAAUUCAGUGAAUCAUCGAGUCUUUGAACGCACAUUGCGCCCCCUGGUAUUCCGGGGGGCAUGCCUGUCCGAGCGUCAUUGCUGCCCUCAAGCACGGCUUGUGUGUUGGGCCUCCGUCCUCCUCCCGGGGGACGGGCCCGAAAGGCAGCGGCGGCACCGCGUCCGGUCCUCGAGCGUAUGGGGCUUCGUCACCCGCUCUUGUAGGCCCGGCCGGCGCUUGCCGACACAUCAAUCUUUUUUCCAGGGUGACCUCGGAUCAGGUAGGGAUACCCGCUGAACUUAAGCAUAUCAAUAAGCGGAGGA